rnacentral:rRNA from 1 species
UACGUAGGGGGCAAGCGUUGUCCGGAUUUAUUGGGCGUAAAGAGCUCGUAGGCGGUCUGUUGCGUCUGCUGUGAAAACUCGGGGCUUAACCCCGAGCCUGCAGUGGAUACGGGCAGACUAGAGGUAGGUAGGGGAGAAUGGAAUUCCCGGUGUAGCGGUGAAAUGCGCAGAUAUCGGGAGGAACACCGGUGGCGAAGGCGGUUCUCUGGGCCUUACCUGACGCUGAGGAGCGAAAGCGUGGGGAGCGAACAGG